GGACUUGGAGUUGAAGACUGAGGAGCAGCAGUAGUCAUCUUGCUGUGCUGUGGCACUGAGCGUGAAGCCAGCAGGCCCAGAAGUGGAACUGAAAGAUGAAAACCAGAGGCCGGGCGGGGUCGCUCACGUUUUUAAUCCCAGCACUUUGGGAGGCCGAGGCAGGUGGAUCACGAGAUGGAGUUCGGCUCUUGUCGCCCAGGCUGCAGUGCAACGGUGCGAUCUCGGCUCACUGAAACCUCCGCCUCCCGGGUUCAAGCGAUUCUCCUGCCUCAGCCUCCUGAGUAGCUGGGAUUACAGGUAUGAGUCACCGCACCCGGCCUAAAACGUCAUUUUCUUUGUUUGGUGCCACAGGAAAGUGAAAUAGUCCUGACCAAAAUGAUAUAUCCUAUCUGAGGUUGGGAUGAGGCAUAGAAGUGGGAAGGAAAAGUCCACAGUCAAGUGCAUGGGCUGCGCAUAUAAGGAGAGCAGGACUGAAUGCUAAGGGGGCUGGAGGGAGAGGCACAAGUUACUUGCAUGUAGUGGUGAUGAGCCUAAGUGAGGCAGACUGAAGUGCUCAGGGUUUUCUAUGCUUUUGUUUUCCAUGUGGGUAAACGUUCUGUGAUUUUUGUACGCUAUUGCAGAAAUAUGGAAUCAGGUCUUUUAUUUCAUAAUUUACUGACACUGGCUUCAUUGCACAGUUCUACCUAAAAAGCUAAAGAGAGGAAUGUUCUAGACCACCCUCCUGGCCACACCAUGUCAUAGUGUCUUUGGGGCACACUUUAUAUUCCCAUCCAUGACAAGCAGCCAGGGCAGAAGAGCUCUCUACAUAUGUGCCACCUUGCCUCCAAAACCUGCUGUUCACUUUGGACAGACUGACCCAUCGCUGACCACUGUUCUCCCCUCUGUCUUUAAUUCCUGAUGACAACAGAAGGAGAGAUUCUCUGACUGUUCUCAAGGAUGUCAUUCCCAGCCUCACCUCCGCAUUUAAUUUUAUAGAACGACCAGUAAAUGUGGUUUCACCUUCCUUGAGUUUAUAA